AAAUGUUAAAGUAGCCUUGAAUUGUUAAUUGGCUAAUUGCCAUUUAGUAAGUCAUAUAGUUCAUCCAUCUAAUAAGUCAUUUAUAUAAUGCAUAAUCUUGACUUGAAAAGGAAAAAAUAAAGAGGGUACCAAAAGGUUCAUCUUUAUUGCUAAAAACUAUGUUUUUCCCUAUGGCCUAGACACAAUUGCAAAAAGAAAAACCAAUACUCUAGUGAAUUAGCUUCAACUACCCUGCACAGACUUCAUAUCAUACCCUUAAAGUUUCUUAACAUAAAUCUAUGGCAAAUUUAAUGAUCAGAAAGUAACAUGGCAUUGCCCUCCAACACAAGUGCAUUCAUAUCUUAAUCUCUUUACCAAAAAUCCAGCUGACAGGAACGGGACUUCGCUGCUUGGCCCUUGCCUGUGCUCUCUCCUCCAAUUUUCUAAUCCUCGGAGCCAGUCCACAUACAUAAUCUUGUGCUCUGCGUCCUUCACCAGAAAGAUGCAGUAUAAAAAGAAGUCCACUAGCACCGGAAUCUUCCUCAAAAAGAGGCAGCAAGAGUUGUAUGAGUACAAAAUCAUGCGUACUCCAUAGGCAUCAUAGGCCUACCAACCAGAGUUAGUAACAAUAAUGUACAGAGGAUGUUAUUAACUGUGCACUCAGAAAAUGUCCCUGCAGUUCAGUAUAAGAUAGUCAAUAAGAAGCAACGCAAAGCAAAACAAUAAUAAAAAUGCAACGCAAUAUGAUGCAAUGCUAAUGACCCUACUAAUCCUCCAAUUUUCUAAUCCGCGGAGCCAGUCCACACACAUAAUCUUGUGCUCUGCGUCCUUCACCAGAAAGAUGCAGUAUAAAAAGAAGUCCACUAGCACCGGAAUCUUCCUCAAAAAGAGGCAGCAAGAGUUGUAUGAGUACAAAAUCAUGCGUACUCCAUAGGCAUCAUAGGCCUACCAACCAGAGUUAAUAACUAUAACGUACAGAGGAUGUUAUAAACUGUGCACUUAGAAAAUGUCCCUGCAGUUCAGUAUAAGAUAGUCAAUAAGAAGCAACGCAAAGCAAAACAAUAAUAAAAAUGCAACGCAAUAUGAUGCAAUGCUAAUGACCCUACUAACAUACACUCCACAGGAAAUGUUGUCAGGUGGGACCCAUGAGGGACUUGUGAGGUCCAUAUACCCUACCUGGACUCGAACCAAGACUUUCGUCAAUAUAGUCUGUCCGAUUCAAUAAAUUUACUUUCAAGUCAAGCCCUUAGACCACAUUUCACCACUAUAAGCAUAUUGCUUUCAAUAUAAUGUCAAUCUUGACAAAUUAACCCCUCAUAUGUGAUAAAAUACCCGAAAUUGAGUAAAACUUGGCAAUGAUGUAAUUUCAAGUCAUCACCCGAGUUAAGUAUGAGAAAAGUAAGCAAUAACCUACCUUGAAAGUCGAGUAACGUGCCACACAUAAAUGCACAGACAUAUAUUUAAAGUACUUCUUUUAGUAGCAUCACGGCUCAAUUAUAAGGGAGUAAUUUUAUCCUUGAUAGCAACGCAGGAACUCUUCAUAACUGUUAGGGUACCGAAUCCCAUCAGCUAAAAAUCCUUAUUGUUAUUGUCACCACUCAAUGAUGGUCCCUCCCCCCUACUUAAUUUCACUUCUGGAGGAUCAAUACUGGUGGUGAUGAGGUGAAAGUAGAGAUUAAAAAUGUUUAGGAGGAAAUGAAGAAUAUAUCAGAAAAUAAUUCUGUUGGAAAGUUUGAGGAAAUCACGUCGUUAGACGUAAAGGACUAUGAAGACCUGGGGUUGAUAAUAGAACUAGAGGAAUUAGGAGAAAGUAGUUUUGAAAAUUCUAGCAUAUAUUUUAAUGUACCAUAUAAGGUGUACAACACUAGCUUUUUCAAAAUUACUUAUCCCUAAUUCCUCCAAUUCUACAAUCAAUCCCAACUCCUCAUAGUCUUUCACGUCUAACGACGUGAUUUCUUCCAGCUUUUCAAUAGAACUAUUUUUUGAUAUAUCUUCACUUCCUCCUCAACAUUUUUAAUCUCUACUCUCACCUCAUCACCACCGGUAUUGAUCCUCCAGAAGUGAAAUUAAGUGGGGGCAGGGGGGAACCAUCAUUGAGUGGUGACAAUAACAAUAGGGAUUUUGAGAUGAUUGAAUGGAUUUGGUACCCUAACAGUUACGGAGAGUUGUUGCGGAUCAUCAGUGUUUUUCUUUCUUUUGAGAAAAUUGAAUAUCAAAUAUUUUGAAUUGGGAUAUGGAAGUCGAUGAAAUUGAAUUGGAAAGAAAGAGAAUAUCAAUGAAAUAGAAAAACCCUUAUAGGUUCUUGAAUUUUUCAGGGGAUAUGAAACUAGAAAUCAAUCGAAUAUACUAACGUUAAUAGUUUAAAGGGGAAAGAAUGAAAUUGGAAAAUCCUUUUCAAUUUGAGAUAUGGAGGUAGAGAAACUUGAAAGAAAAUGAAUUGGAAAUUAAAAGGAAAAGAGGAUGAGAUCUGAAAUUGAGAAAAAGGGAAGAAGAUGAGAUCUGAAAUUGAGAAAAAAGGAAGAAGAUGAGAUCUGAAAUGGAGAAAAAAAGAAGAAGAUUAGAUCUGAAAUCGGGAAAAGAAAAAAUUAAGGGAAAGAGAGAGAAAGGGAAGAUGGGCUAAAAUAAAAUUUGUGUUAUAGCAUAGAUCAAGUUAUAAAGGAAAUGAGUUAAACGGUGGGGGAUUUAAUUUGACGACACGUCGUAAAUUUGGUAUUUAAAAUUUUUAAAAAAUUGGCUAAUAAAAUAUGACGUGUUGUUAGAUAUGACAUUCUAUACCCAAUUAACCCGUGGCAUGAAUAAGCCAUAGUCAUAACGAUCAUAGCAAAAGUGGUACCUAAUUUAUCUGCUAUAAAGACAUCAACAACAAAUAAAUGAGAAACUGCCAAGAAAAAUAUAUUCCUAAAAAGGAAAAAUAACUACAAUAAAAUAGUGUGCUAAUCAAAGUACAAGAGAUAAAUAGAUAGUAAAAAACUCAAAGUUUUAAGAACUAUAGGAGAAAUACUAGGGCUACCGCUAUGGAAGGAUAUGCAAGAGAAUAUUCUACUACCUAUUAACCUUCUAACCUAAUUCUUGUCUUCCACAACUUUCUAUCUAAGGUUAUGUCUUUGGUAAGCUACGACUGCAUCAUGUUCUAUCUAAUCACCUCUCCCCAAUACUUCUUCAGUCUACCUCUAUCUAUCCUGAAACCAUUCAUAACCCCUCACACUUUUACAUGGGCAUCUGUGCAUUUCCUCUUCAUAUGCUUAAACCAUCACAGUCUCGCUUUAUGCAUCGUGUCCUCUAUUGAGAUCACUUGUACCUUAUUUCAGACAUUCUUAAUCUAAUCUCUCAUAGUAUGCCGACAUAUCCACCAAAACAUUCUCAUUUCUGCAACUUUAAUCUUGUGAACGUAAGAGUUCUUGACUAGCCAACACUCCUAGCCAUACUCUAACCACCACUCUGCAAUACUUGCCUUUGAGUUUUGAUGACAUCUUCUUAUCACACAAUACUCCAGAUGCGAGCCUACAUUUUAUCCACUCUGCACCAAUACAAUGUGUGACAUUAUCAUCACUUUGUCCAUUCCUUGGAUAAUAGACCCAAGAUACUUGAAUCUUCCUUUCUUUUGAAUGACAUGUGCAUCAAGCCUCACUUCUACUCCACCCUUAUAUUAACAUACCAAUAAAUUGAAGCACUUCAAUUUAAAAUCUUAAGGUAAUUAGUGCAGAUUUUAGAGUGUUUACACACUCACAAAUCCUAAUCGUAACUUAUCACAAGUGAAAGAAUGUUGUAAAAGAAAAACCCUCAACUCUCUGACACAAUUAAAUAUGUAUAAACCCCUUUAAAAUGUUCCCGACUUGAUGUGAUACAGUAAAUCUUUAUAAUAAUACAACAAAUUUUGUGUCAAGUUGAUUUGGAGCACAUUCCACUUGGGAAAAAGGUAAAAGUUGAAAAUGCAAUAUUUUGCUAAGUACUAUCUUCUAUUUUACUCUAUGGUUUGAUUUGGAAUACAUUUCAGAGGUGAAAAAGGUAAACAUCUAAUCAAGGAAAAUGCUAUAGUAGCCGUGAAUUGUUAAUUGCCAUUUAGUAUUUCCAAACCAACAAACAAAGCAUUUGGCUUGUGUAAAUGCUUUUUGUUCCCCUGGAACUCCACUGUUUUAGAAUUUUUUUAUAAAUAAAUCAAUGUGCUUCCAUCAGGUCAAUUGAUUUUAUAGUUCUUCAAAUACAAAAUAGAUGAUAACUUUUCUGAACUGCUUUUUUGUUUUGUACUUACACCUUGAAUUUUGUUUUCCUGGAGUCGAAGAAAUCCUAAACUUUCUUCUUCUUUAUUCAAAUUGUAAAUGACUUUGUGACCCUUUCCUAUUUCCAAAUAGCGCUGGCCUAAGUGCAAAUAUAGUAGGAUAAUUUAUGUAUAAUAGACCCUUCUGACCCUUCCCCAGACCUCACGCAUAGCGAGAGCUUAGUGCACCGGCUGUCCUUCUUAAAGAGUUUAUAUCCUAGAUGCACCCAUUUAAUAAGUCAUAUAUAAAAUGCAUUAUCUUUACUUUAAAGGGAGAUUAAAAAAAAGAAGGUACCAAAAGCUUCAUCUUUAUUGCUAGUAAAUAUGUUUUUCCCUAUGGCCUAAACACAAUUUGCUGGAACAAAGCUAACUUAGUAAGGGCCUAUGAGUUAGAAGUGGUGAAAAAGAUUGGGCUGAGUAAAAUGUUGGAGCAUUUUAUUUGGGAAUCAGACCCAAUUAGCAUCUGGUUAAAAGGGAGAAGUGGUCUGAAAGAAGGGGUUAUGCUUGUUAUGAAGAAAAUCUUUGUUCCUCUAAUCUUCUUCUAGAUCUAAGUUUCUCAUCCUCAUUCUUAUAUAUUUCCUUAGUUACUUGUUAUUUCAAAUUUUCUAUUGUAAGUCAAUAGUUUAAGUGUUGCCGUUGUAAUUUGGCUAUCAGUGAUUAUAUAAUACUUGAGUAUUUGUGUUGAGAUUUCAGGUUUGUUACAUUGGUGCUUUCAUCCAUCGGUCUCCAACAAUGGCGAUGUUUCUACCUUGAUUCAGCGGCGACGGCAUCCCAGAGAGCUGGAUUUUCAGGCCCAGUUGUACUUCACAAAUCUUGGCUUUGACGAGGAUGAUUAUUUUCCCCUUCCUUCAUUCUACCUUUAUGGUGAAGCUUAUUUCACAAUAAGCUAAUUUUUGAUUGGAAGCAUUUCAAGGGUAAAUUUGCUCAGUGGUUUCAAUAACAAACCAACAACAAUGUAGUGGGGCGUCUAGCUAAUUCAUCACAAGUUCAUUUUUGACUGCGUUAAUUAUGUCCCUAUAGUUUCACAAUCAGCUGUGGUGUCUCCCAGUCAUUUUCCAGCAUCAUCUGCCCUUGAUUUUGCUUAUGAAACUGGUAACUCAAAGGCGGACCUUGUGCUUUAUAAAUUGCCAGAGACGUAUUAACAUGUGGAUUCCUAGGCAUUGAUUACUGGAAGUAAUACUGAGACUGAAGCUCUUAAAGACAGGUACUCACCUCAUACAGGGAAUGCAAAGUCAGUAGAGGGAGCAAAUUUGGUAUCGGGACCUUUUUUCAAUGCUGAAAACAAGGCGUUCGAUGAAAUGUCACACACAACAGUGAGCUUUGAAAUUGUCCACGAGGGAGAAACUUUGCAACUACAGUGCGACGAUAGCUUCUGUGUAGAUGUCAGCUUGAAUACAAAGGUGCCUACUGCGAUGUUAGAUGAUAUGAAAGAAUCUAAUACUGAGGAGGAGGACAACCCACGAGAUAAUCUAGCUUUGUUUGACAAAAGUCCUAAAUGGGAUACAUCGGGUUUUUCUGGUUCCUUUUUCUAGCCAAGGUACUGUAAUGUUGAAUGUGAGUAUGCAAAUUGCUGUAAUCGAAUAUCCAUUCAUGGUGUCUAAUGGGAUCACACUAUUCCUUGUUUGCAUAAUUCUCUUGAAGAAAUGUGUGGGGGUAAACAAACUAGAGUGCCGCCUUACCUUGUCUUUAGCUUACACAAAUGCAAUUGGGUUGAUACUGGGCAGGAGUGCAAUCUUCCUUGUUUCUUGUCGUCUAACUCGAGAGGGUGUGGUAGUGAGAAGAAAAUGGAGGAAGUACUCCAGGUAAAUUGUUGUAAGUUCCUCCAAGCAGUCACCAUAUACUUGAGCUGUUAAGCUCUUGUUUGCUAUGUUUGUUCUAGUCCAUAAAGCAAGGGUGACUUCGUCGUAUAUUGUCUGUGAUCCUGGUCCUUAUCUUGAUUAUGUCACGAUCUAUGCAAUAGACUCUACUUUUGGAGAUGGAAAAUCCAUAGAGGGGGGGGGGGGGGGGGUAACAGUACUAUUUGAACUCCCAGGUGUGAAGUUUCUUAUUGGGCAAGUACUCUCUGUGCAAAUUGGUAUCACUUCGGACGUUUGCAAUAAACUUGGCGCUUAUGUUUGCUGUCAUUUGGGACAUGCACAUUUUUCCAUUAGGAAUCUGAUGUCAUACUAUAGAUGGUUCCUUUUGUAGUCCCGUGGACAAUUGGCUCGACACUGUGCAGGAUGAUAUAGGUGGUGCAUUGAUUGCUAAUGAAUCUUUAAAUUGGUUACACUGCAAAGUUGUAUGAUUAGGGGUUUGUCGAUGGAGUUGAAAUUGAUAUUCAAAGUUAUGGUGCUUUCAACACUUCGUUUGCAAGUUACAAACUACAGAGGAUUGAUUUCACCAAAUGUAUUUUUGCUGCCCAACGUUGAAAUGAUGAGGUAUCAUAUUAAAAUCUGUUUGAUCCAUUUGUGAAUCUGGUCAAAGCUAACAGUCUUGUAGAAUAUUAAGUAUCUGUUCAAAGCUAAUAGUCUUGAUGAAAUAUGAUGUUUGUUAUUUAUACAUAUAUAUAUAUAUAUAUAUAAAAAAAAGUAGCAUACAUUUAUAUGAUACAUAGUGACCUGAAUUAGUUACAUCUAUCUAUUUCCGAAUUAACAUAUCUGAUGCAUCCGUUUUCAGCAUACAUAUAUUGUAAUUUCGGUUUUCUUGUAUCUAUUAGUUGGAUUAGUGAAUAGUAGUGGCUGGUAUUUUUUUUGUUCUCCUACCCGGUGUCCAGCCUCACUCCCUGGGCUAUUUGAACUAGACCAUGGACAGCAGAGGAAAAUAGGCAUGGUGAUCUUCUCAACAAAUAUCUUUAUCUUUCGUAAGAGUUGAUAUGAAGCAUAUUGAAAAGACAAUCCAUUACCCAAUUGGUUCUGGGAUGGUAAGAUUUUUACCAGACCUUAUGUUAUCAUGUAGGUUUGCUGAGGUUUAUAAUAAAUAGUGCAGCUUUUAGCAAGUGUUAUCUGUCUCUGUCCAUCUGCAUUUGGCUCCAAUAAACGUUGGUUACAUUUCUUUGAGUUAUUUGUACCAGUAACUGGUUUAUGAAUGAGUGCUCUUGGAAUAUCCCAUGACUAAGUGACCAUUUCCUAGUUCCAAAAAGCUCAGGCUAGUGCAAAUAUAGCAGAAUAAGCUAUGUAUAAUAGACCCUUCCCCGGAUUAGCACAUACAAAAGGUUCAUCUUUAUUGCUAAUAACUAUGCUUUUUCCUAUGGCCUAAACACAAUUGCAAAAUUUUAUACAAAUCUAGUGAAGUAGGUUUAAACUCCACUGCACAGAUUUCAAACCAUACCCUCAAAGUUUCUUAAUACAAAUCUAUGGAAAAUUUAAUGUUCAGAAUUGCCCUCCAACACAAGUGCAUUCAUCUCUUAAUCUCUUUCCUCCAAUUUUCUAAUCCGCGGAGCCAGUCCACAUACAUAAUCUUGUGCUCUGC
rnacentral:lncRNA from 1 species